AGGAGCUAUGGAAGGAGGUAUACUGGUCAUUUGAGUGGAUUUACUUGGAGGAUUUGAUCAGCCAAAAUAUUUGGUGUUACACGAUUUGAUGUCGGCCACACAGGAGUGAUGAAGCUUGCACCAUGACUAUGAGCUUUUCAUAAUGCUAUUGUGGUGGGUGGCAUAGGAAGUAUGGACCUGACUAACGGGCAAUCGAGUGCGAUAUAUUUUACAGCCACAGCUUCUGAGCGGAGUAGCAGCUCUGAGUCUCUGAGUGAGAAAGCUUCUAAUGAUCCUAAGAAAAGUUUUGAUGCAGUGGUCUUUGAUGUCCUGAAGGUGACACCAGAAGAGUUUGCUAGUCAGAUAACACUAAUGGAUGCACCUGUUUUUAAAGCUAUUCAGCCUGAAGAGCUGUCAAGUUGUGGCUGGAAUAAAAAGGAAAAGCACAGUUCAUCACCAAAUGUCGUAGCCUUCACUAGGAGGUUUAAUCACGUUAGCUUUUGGGUCGUCCGAGAGAUUCUUACUGCACAAACACUAAAAAUAAGAGCUGAAGUGUUGAGCCACUAUGUUAAAACUGCAAAGAAAUUGUAUGAGUUGAAUAACCUACAUGCCCUAAUGGCUGUUGUGUCGGGAUUGCAGAGUGCACCUAUCUUCAGGCUUACCAAAACAUGGGCGCUUUUAAGCAGGAAAGAUAAAACAACAUUUGAAAAAUUAGAAUAUCUGGUGUCGAAAGAGGACAAUUACAAGAGGCUCAGGGAUUAUGUUAAUAGUUUGAAGAUGACUCCAUGUAUUCCAUAUUUAGGCAUUUACCUGUCUGACUUGACGUACAUUGAUUCAGCGUACCCAUCCACACACAGUAUCAUUGAGAGUGAGCAAAGAUCAAACCUAAUGAACAAUAUUUUGAGAAUCAUUUCAGAUCUUCAGCAGAGCUGUGAUUAUGAUAUUCCUCUGCUGCCUCAUGUUCAGAAGUAUUUGAACUCUGUGAGAUACAUUGAAGAACUUCAGAAAUUUGUUGAAGAUGACAAUUACAAACUGUCACUAAGAAUUGAGCCUGGCACCAGCACACCACAGUCCACUGCCUCAAGGGAAGAUCUCGCGGGAUCUGAUGCAGCACCAUCCCCACAGAGUAGCCGACGAUACAUGGCAGCAGAGGCAGCCCUAACAAAUGUACCACCGACUCCACCUUCUUCCAGGCAUCUACUAACUCAUGGACAUAGGAAGUCCCACAGUUUAGGAUACAACUUUAUACACAAGAUGAAUACGGUAGAGUUUAAGAGUGCUACAUUUCCCAAUGGAAGACCUCGGCACUUGCUAGAUGAUAGUGUAAUGGAAAACUACACCCCUUCAAGAGUUCAAGCAGAAAGUUCCACCAUUUCCAGUGGAAUAUCAAUAGGUAGCAGUGAGGGUUCAGAACUCAGUGAAGACGUGUCUUGGCCAGCAUUUGAAAGGAACCGGUUCUAUUAUUCUCUCUGCCCAGUGGCACGGGCUGGAAGGAAUGGCUGUCGAAGCCACAUGAAGGCCCACAGUUCUGUGGAAUCUGAGGAACUGGCAGUAAACCUCUUUCCAGGCACUGUUACAAUUCAAGGAGUUUUGAGAAGAAAGACUCUACUGAAAGAAGGCAAAAAGCCUACGGUUGCAUCGUGGACCAAGUACUGGGUGGCGCUGUGUGGAACAAAACUCUAUUACUACUCAGCCAAAUCCUUAAAACCAACAGAAAGAAAGCAUAUCAAACAUCUGUCUAAUUCAGCCUUGAACGUAUGGUGAAACAGCCUCCACAGCUCUUUGGGAGGAGAAUGCCAAAGAUCUAACAAUACAUCUCCCUUUAAAUAAGGAGACCAAAACUGUUCACAAUACUCUGUGAUUACACCAAUUCUCUGUCCAGUUUUCACAAGAUUUUUAUAUUCACCACCCUUGCAAUAAAUUUGCCUUAUUAAUUACCUCUGCACAUGCACAAUAACUUUUACAAGGAUAUCUAGAUUCCUUUCUGCCACAGUAUUCUGCAGAUUGUUUCAAUUCAGAAUAUUAUUCUUCUUUUCUGUUCUUUCUGCCUAAGUGGGCAACCUCACAUUUUUCUGCAUUAGACUCCAUCUGCCAAAUCUUUGCCCAUCACUUAACCCAUUUAUGUCACUGAAGGGCAAUUAAGGAUGACCAGUAAAUGCUGACCCAGCCAGUGACAUCGAAAUGUUGUGAAUGCAACCCCAUCUCUACCAGGUGGGUAGAGUUAAAAUUAGACCUUAAGUAUCAGCAUUACCAUAACUGCUUGCUUAAUUUAUUUUGUUACUAUUUGUUUGAGCAAACUUCUUUCAGGAAACUUCUGCAACACUUGAAGUUUGUAUUCUUUCCUUGAAUUUGGCAGAUCUGCUAAGUUUACAGGUAUCUAAUUUGAAAUAAGGAGGCACCUAUUUCUCUUUAUCUGGCAGUGACUUUGUGUGAACAAGACUGAAAUGAGCUUUAAAGCACCUAACUUGUGAUAACUUUGCUUUUAAAGUAAUUUUGCAGUCCAUAUAACCCGAUCCCUCCCGUUUAACUUCUCCUUUUGCAUGCACUUCUUUGUGUGUGGCUGUCUUGUUAUGAUUACUCAGUUCUUUACCAAGCCUGUAAAAACAGAUUUAGAAACCCAGAGGAAAUAACUUUACAAUACGAGAAGGAGCUAUCUCAGUAGAGUUAUGAAAAUUAAGUGUACUUUUGAAAGGUUAUUUCCUCAGGGCUUCUUCCUCUUUGAUGACCUGGGCUGAUGUACAUAAUGCGUGAAGAAAAAUAGAGCAAGUUCAAAUCAAGUUUGAGUAAGAGUGUGUCGGUUGUGGGUUGGAUGGUGAUGAUGGCUGAUGAUCCAGAGCAUCCAGAUGUUUUCC